UAGGGAAUCUUCGGCAAUGGACGAAAGUCUGACCGAGCAACGCCGCGUGAGUGAAGAAGGUUUCGGAUCGUAAAACUCUGUUGUUAGAGAAGAACAAGGACGGUAGUAACUGAACGUCCCCUGACGGUAUCUAACCAGAAAGCCACGGCUAACUACGUGCCAGCAGCCGCGGUAAUACGUAGGUGGCAAGCGUUGUCCGGAUUUAUUGGGCGUAAAGCGAGCGCAGGCGGUUUCUUAAGUCUGAUGUGAAAGCCCCCGGCUCAACCGGGGAGGGUCAUUGGAAACUGGGAGACUUGAGUGCAGAAGAGGAGAGUGGAAUUCCAUGUGUAGCGGUGAAAUGCGUAGAUAUAUGGAGGAACACCAGUGGCGAAGGCGGCUCUCUGGUCUGUAACUGACGCUGAGGCUCGAAAGCGUGUGGAGCAAACAGG
rnacentral:rRNA from 1 species